UCGUCAGCGAUGAGGAACAGGCUGGCGCGUGCGCCCCUCUGCUCACGGUCUCCCUUCGGUCAGCGAGCCGCCGGGGAGGAGGGUGUCCCGGAACCGCAGCGUCUCGGGCCUGGCGCCGCUCAGCCCGACGCCGAGGCCUGUCGGGAGCCGGGGCCGGACGGCGCGCCCCUCCGCGCGGGAACGCCGCGCGCUCCCUAGUCUCGGCCGGGCCUCCCGGCGCGCCCAGGCGGGGGAGCUCGCGGGCAGGACAUUCCGCGGUUGGCCGCGGCCGGGAGGCCGCCUACGCCCGGGCGCGUCAGGGCUGUUCCCCAGGGCGCUCACCCGCAGCGCCCUCGAGGGCUGCGCCACGCGCUCAGGACCGUGCUGGUUGUUUUUUUAGACACUGGCUGACAGUCUACGUCCGGAAAACCCAGUGAUAAUUGGAGAGUAAAACUUAAAAUACAGGUCCAUAUCGAAUGGUUAGAAAAAGCAGAGAGCCCUGCCCUGAUCCUGCACAUGGAUGAUAUAAGGUGCUGCUAUUCUCAGGUGGCCACAGGUGUUCUGCCCACGGGACCUGUAGCAGCAUGGCCUGAGAGAAAUGGCCUAGACCUGGAAGCUACACAGAGUCCCACUGGAAUUCAAGAGGGAUAAGGUGGAAAUAUCAGUUUCCAGGAGAAAUAUCAAUAACCUCAGAUAUGCAGACGACACCACCCUUAUGGCAGAAAGCAAAGAGGAACUGAGGAGCCUUUUGAUGAAAGUGAAAAAGG